rnacentral:rRNA from 1 species
GACGAACGCUGGCGGCGUGCCUAAUACAUGCAAGUCGAGCGGUUGAAGCCUUCGGGCCGAGAUAGCGGCGGACGGGUGAGUAACACGUAGGUAACCUGCCUAUCAGACUGGGAUAACUACCGGAAACGGUAGCUAAGACCAGAUACGUCAACUUGGGGGCAUCCUCGAGUUGAGAAAAGCGGAGCAAUCUGCUACUGAUAGAUGGACCUGCGGCGCAUUAGCUAGUUGGUGAGGUAGAGGCUCACCAAGGCGACGAUGCGUAGCCGACCUGAGAGGGUGAACGGCCACACUGGGACUGAGACACGGCCCAGACUCCUACGGGAGGCAGCAGUGGGGAAUAUUGCACAAUGGGCGCAAGCCUGAUGCAGCGACGCCGCGUGAGGGAUGACGGCCUUCGGGUUGUAAACCUCUUUCAGUAGGGAAGAAGCGAAAGUGACGGUACCUGCAGAAGAAGCGCCGGCUAACUACGUGC